UAGAUAUGGAUUCACAAGAUCCUGGACACAUGUACUUCACCAACCUCUUCAGUGAAGAUCCUCAACUAGACCCCACAUACGGUGGGCAAAGUGGAAACUCUCCUAUGACUGUUGAUGACUCUCCACCCCUAUCCCAUAAUGAUCUUAUCAGUGUUAGGAAAUCAGUCAGGGGUGCGAACUUCACUCCCGAAGAAGACAAGUUACUUCUCUCCGCAUGGCUUAAUUGUAGCCUUGAUGCCGUCCAGGGAACAGACCAAAAACACUCCCAACUUUGAAAAAAAAAAAAAUUUGAAUGCUUC